rnacentral:rRNA from 1 species
GACGAACGCUGGCGGCGUGCUUAACACAUGCAAGUCGAACGGAAAGGCCCUGCUUGCAGGGUACUCGAGUGGCGAACGGGUGAGUAACACGUGGGUGAUCUGCCCUGCACUUCGGGAUAAGCUUGGGAAACUGGGUCUAAUACCGGAUAGGAACCAUCUUUAGUGUGGUGGUUGGAAAGUUUUUUCGGUGUAGGAUGAGCUCGCGGCCUAUCAGCUUGUUGGUGGGGUAAUGGCCUACCAAGGCGGCGACGGGUAGCCGGCCUGAGAGGGUGUACGGCCACAUUGGGACUGAGAUACGGCCCAGACUCCUACGGGAGGCAGCAGUGGGGAAUAAUGCACAAUGGGCGCAAGCCUGAUGCAGCGACGCCGCGUGGGGGAUGAAGGCCUUCGGGUUGUAAACUCCUUUCGCUAGGGACGAAGCUUUGUUGUGACGGUACCUAGAUAAGAAGCACCGGCUAACUACGUG